UAGCUAGUUGGUGGGGUAAGGGCCUACCAAGGCGACGAUCGGUAGCUGGUCUGANAGGAUGGCCAGCCACACUGGAACUGAGACACGGUCCAGACUCCUACGGGAGGCAGCAGUGGGGAAUAUUGGACAAUGGGGGCAACCCUGAUCCAGCAAUGCCGCGUGUGUGAAGAAGGCCUGAGGGUUGUAAAGCACUUUCAGUGGGGAGGAGGGUUGAUAGGUUAAGAGCUAAUUAACUGGACGUUACCCACAGAAGAAGCACCGGCUAACUCCGUGCCAGCAGCCGCGGUAAUACGGAGGGUGCGAGUGUUAAUCGGAAUUACUGGGCGUAAAGGGUACGUAGGUGGUUGAUUAAGUUAUCUGUGAAAUUCCUGGGCUUAACCUGGGACGGUCAGAUAAUACUGGUUGACUCGAGUAUGGGAGAGGGUAGUGGAAUUUCCGGUGUAGCGGUGAAAUGCGUAGAGAUCGGAAGGAACACCAGUGGCGAAGGCGGCUACCUGGCCUAAUACUGACACUGAGGCACGAAAGCGUGGGGAGCAAACAGGAUUAGAUACCCUGGUAGUCCACGCUGUAAACGAUGUCAACUAGCUGUUGGUUAUAUGAAAAUAAUUAGUGGCGC
rnacentral:rRNA from 1 species